rnacentral:rRNA from 1 species
AGAGUUUGAUCCUGGCUCAGGACGAACGCUGGCGGCGCGCCUAAUACAUGCAAGUCGAACGGGUACCUCUUCGGAGGUGCUAGUGGCGGACGGGUGAGUAACACGUGGGCGACCUGCCUUCGAGUGGGGAAUAACGCUGGGAAACCAGCGCUAAUACCGCAUACGCUCAGCGCAUCAGUGCGGUGAGGAAAGCUUUAUGUGCUCGAAGAGGGGCCUGCGGCGGAUUAGCUAGUCGGUGGGGUAACGGCCUACCGAGGCGACGAUCCGUAGCUGGUCUGAGAGGAUGAUCAGCCACACUGGGACUGAGACACGGCCCAGACUCCUACGGGAGGCAGCAGUAAGGAAUCUUCCACAAUGGGGGCAACCCUGAUGGAGCGACGCCGCGUGGACGAAGAAGCUUCUCGGAGUGUAAAGUCCUUUUCGUGGGGGUGAGAUGGACAGUACCCACGGAAUAAGCCACGGCUAACUACGUGCCAGCAGCCGCGGUAAUACGUAGGUGGCAAGCGUUGUCCGGAAUUACUGGGUGUAAAGCGCGUGUAGGCGGGAGGCCAAGUCUGCGGUGAAAUCGCCCGGCUUAACCUGGAAAGUGCAGAGGGGACUGUUCAGCUAGAGGAUGGGAGAGGAGCGCGGAAUUCCCGGUGUAGCGGUGAGAUGCGUAGAGAUCGGGAGGAAGGCCGGUGGCGAAGGCGGCGCUCUGGAACAUUUCUGACGCUGAGGCUC